AUCCUUUUGGAAGUCAUAAGUGUGAUUGGGUUUUCAUGCCCAUGUGUCAAACGUGUCUCCCUCAAACCGUGUUACAAAGUGGGCACACUACCUGCCUGACG
rnacentral:snoRNA from 1 species